AGCGAACGCUGGCGGCAUGCUUAACACAUGCAAGUCGCACGGGGGGCUUUCGGGCCUUUAGUGGCGGACGGGUGAGGAUCGCGUGGGAACAUAUCGUGAGGUGGGGGACAACCGCGGGAAACUGCGGCUAAUACCGCAUGGGGCCUGAGGGCCAAAGGCAGGGAGACUUGUCGCCUUAUGAGUGGCCUGCGUCCGAUUAGCUGGUUGGUGGGGUAAUGGCCUACCAAGGCUGCGAUCGGUAGCUGGUCUGAGAGGAUGAUCAGCCACACUGGGACUG
rnacentral:rRNA from 1 species